rnacentral:rRNA from 1 species
GAUGAACGCUGGCGGCGUGCCUAACACAUGCAAGUCGAACGGACUUUUUUGAUGGAAGUUUUCGGAUGGAAGUCAAACAAGUUAGUGGCGGACGGGUGAGUAACGCGUGGGUAACCUGCCGUAUACAGGGGGAUAACACUUAGAAAUAGGUGCUAAUACCGCAUAAGCGCACAGCUUCGCAUGGAGCAGUGUGAAAAACUCCGGUGGUAUACGAUGGACCCGCGUCUGAUUAGCUAGUUGGUGAGGUAACGGCCCACCAAGGCGACGAUCAGUAGCCGGCCUGAGAGGGUGAACGGCCACAUUGGGACUGAGACACGGCCCAAACUCCUACGGGAGGCAGCAGUGGGGAAUAUUGCACAAUGGGGGAAACCCUGAUGCAGCGACGCCGCGUGAGUGAAGAGGUAUUUCGGUAUGUAAAGCUCUAUCAGCAGGGAAGAAAUGACGGUACCUGACUAAGAAGCUCCGGCUAAAUACGUG